rnacentral:rRNA from 1 species
AGUGAACGCUGGCGGCGUGCUUAACACAUGCAAGUCGAACGAGAACGGAAUAGAGCUUGCUAUAUUUGUCAGCUAAGUGGCGCACGGGUGAGUAAUGUAUAGAUAACCUGCCCUUAAGAAAGGAAUAACAGUUGGAAACGACUGCUAAUGCCCUAUAUGCCUUUAAUACAUAAGUGUGCAAGGGAAACGCUUUAGUGCUUAAGGAUGGGUCUGUAUGGUAUCAGCUUGUUGGUGAGGUAAUGGCUCACCAAGGCUAUGACGCCUAACUGGUUUGAGAGGAUGAUCAGUCACACUGGAACUGAGACACGGUCCAGACUCCUACGGGAGGCAGCAGUGGGGAAUAUUGCACAAUGGACGAAAGUCUGAUGCAGCAACGCCGCGUGGAGGAUGACACAUUUCGGUGCGUAAACUCCUUUUAUAUAGGAAGAUAAUGACGGUACUAUAUGAAUAAGCACCGGCUAACUACGUGCCAGCCGCCGCAGUAAUAC